AGUGAACGCUGGCGGUAGGCCUAACACAUGCAAGUCGAACGGCAGCACAGUAAGAGCUUGUUCUUACGGGUGGCGAGUGGCGGACGGGUGAGGAAUACAUCGGAGUCUACUUUUUCGUGGGGGAUAACGUAGGGAAACUUACGCUAAUACCGCAUACGACCUACGGGUGAAAGCAGGGGAUCUUCGGACCUUGCGCGAUUGAAUGAGCCGAUGUCGGAUUAGCUAGUUGGCGGGGUAAAGGCCCACCAAGGCGACGAUCCGUAGCUGGUCUGAGAGGAUGAUCAGCCACACUGGAACUGAGACACGGUCCAGACUCCUACGGGAGGCAGCAGUGGGGAAUAUUGGACAAUGGGCGCAAGCCUGAUCCAGCCAUACCGCGUGGGUGAAGAAGGCCUUCGGGUUGUAAAGCCCUUUUGUUGGGAAAGAAAAGCAGCAGGUUAAUACCCCGCUGUUCUGACGGUACCCAAAGAAUAAGCACCGGCUAACUUCGUG
rnacentral:rRNA from 1 species